GGAAGCUGAGAAGAGAAGGAGAGAGAGAAUUAACUCUCAUCUAGAUAAGCUCAGGAGCCUCCUUCCUUGCAAUUCUAAGGUAAUUAUAGAUGAUUUGUGUUGAUAGAGUGGAAGGCUAUUUGAUGGUUUUUUGAAGCGUAUUAGGAGCUUUUGAAGUGGUUUUAAUGGUGGAGAUUGUGACUUUUCUUGUUUAAUGUUUUCACCAUGUAGUAAUUCUUGAAGUUUUUUAUCUAUGUGAUUUUUCUUUUUCCCUUUAUCAAUUAUUGUGUUUGUUCACUGUUUGGUAGCUAAGAAACUGCGAGAAAAAGAAAGUUAAACUUUGAUUUUUGGACUCUUACUUUUUGACCCACAAAGCAAAAAUCCUGCUGACUGACUUGACAUUUGCCCAACGCAAUCAUUUAGCGAAUCAAAUCCGUUUUUUGAGGGUUAGGCUUUUCUGAUGUUCACAUGCUGAAUUUUAUAUAUUUAUUUUCUCGUUUAUUUACUUUCCCUCAAUUUCUUGGCUACCAAACAUGAAGACAAAGAGCUUACUGCGCUACGAUAGUUAAAUUCAGAUUCUGAAAUCUUGGAUCUAUAAAAGUCUUUUGAAGCUUUUUUGAAUGUUCAAACUGAACGUACAAACUUUAUCUGCAAAAGCGAAAGCAAGAAAGCAUUUAUUUUCUAUUUUCCUAAUUUUCUUUUUUACUAUUUUGUCUAAAUUUUUCUAGGAUUAGUCUAGUCUGUUUGGGAAAGCUGCCAAGCUUUUUUACAUUUAGGGUUUAUUUCUAGCCUUUUUUUUUUCCUUGAAUUUUCAGACCGACAAAGCUUCACUUCUAGCAAAAGUUGUUCAACGAGUGAGA
rnacentral:misc_RNA from 1 species